rnacentral:rRNA from 1 species
AUGAACGCUGGCGGCGUGCCUUAAGCAUGCAAGUCGAACGGGAUUUUGGAGUCGCAAGAUUUUAAUUUUCAGUGGCGGACGGGUGAGGAAUAGCAAGGAACGUACCUCUUACUGUGGGAUAGCUCGUCGAAAGACGGGGUAAUACCGCAUGACCCCGCUUAGCGGGGAAAGGGUGUAACAGCUCGGUGAGAGAGCGGCCUUGCACCUAUCAGCUAGUUGGUGGGGUAAUGGCCUACCAAGGCUACGACGGGUAGGGGGUGUGAGAGCACGACCCCCCACAAUGGCACUGAGACACGGGCCAUACAUCUACGGAUGGCAGCAACUGGGAAUAUUCGGCAAUGGGCGAAAGCCUGACCGAGCGACGCCGCGUGAGGGAUGAAGUAUUUCGGUAUGUAAACCUCUUUUGUCCCAUCGUCGAGGUGGGAAGAAUAAGCAUCUACAAACUACGU